AGGGGUACGGUCAGGGAUCCGGUCAGGGAUCCGGUCAGGGGUACAGCCAGGGAUCCGGUCAGGGAUCCGGUCAGGGAUACAGCCAGGGAUCCGGCCAGGGAUCCGGUCAGGGAUCCGGUCAGGGAUCCGGUCGGGGAUCCGGUCAGGGAUCCGGUCAGGGAUCCGGUCAGGGAUACAACCAGGGAUCCGGUCAGGGCUACAGCCAGGGAUCCGGUCAGGGAUCCGGUCAGGGAUCCAGGGCCCAGCCAGGAUCCAGCUCCGGGGAAGGGUACGGGUGUGGGGGGUGUUAGAAAUAGGGGAGGGGUCCCAGAGGGUCCCAAAAGAUCCCAGAGGAUCCCAGAGGGUCCAUUGGGGAUGGGGAUGGGUGUGGGGGGUGCCGGAAAUAGGGGAGGGGUCCCAGAGGGUCCCAAAGAUUCCAGAGGGUCCCGGAGGAUCCCAAAUAAAGCCUCGGAUC
rnacentral:lncRNA from 1 species